rnacentral:lncRNA from 1 species
AGAGCCGCGCACCAAGCCGAUGGCGGUGGACGCAGCAGGGCCCCGCGGUCUGAGUGCGGGCAGGCGCGCGUGGGCGUGUCUCCCUGGCCCACGCGUGUCCCCGGCAUCAGUGUCUCGGCUCUGGUCCAGGACGAAGACUUCUGAAAGCGAGCCAAGGAGAAUCACAGUUCUUAACGGAGCCCCUGACUGCCCGGUGGAAGGAGGUGAUUUAGAAGACAGUGAGACUCAGCUACUGUUCCCAUCGAGAUGCAAAGGACACAGAGCUCACGGGUGCUCCAGCAAUGCUGGUGUCAUGUUUGGAGGUAGCUGUCUAUGGACUACAGUAUUCUCCCAGUGCUAGUCUGCAGUCACUGCAAAGGAUGUUUCUUGGCUUCAAACCAUUUGGAUAAGUGAUGGCAGCAAGCUUCGCCACUGUAAAGUCACCUCUUUGUAAGAAGACAGGAGCUCUUUGUAAAGAAUAUGAGACCUGAGGCUGGGGGAUGGCUGAGAAGGGAAAAGCACCUCUGCACAAGCGUGAGAAAAGGAGUUUGUUCUUCCACAUCCAUGUAGAAAUCUUGAUGCCGUGCCGUGAACCCCAGCUCUCCUACGGGAAGAUGGGAGGCGUAGACAGGAGUUCAUCUGGAAGCUUGAGGCCAGCCACCCAGAUCCUCAGAGCUGCAGACAAAAGAGAGGCCCUGCAGCAAAAGAGUGGAAGGUGAGAACCAACUCCGGAAAGUUGCCCUCUGACCUUUACAAGUGUAUACAUCCACACACAUACAAUAAAAUCAAUUGCUCAAUCACGUA